UCCGCUUCGCCCGAAGUUGCGGGAGCCGGAGCCCCGCGGCGGUCUGGGGCGGCGCGACGCGCGGCAGCCCGAGAAGGACUGUCCUCGGGCAACUGGCUCCGGGAAACAGAAGAAACUGGCUAGAUGUAUAGAUGAAAGCACUAGUCCUUCUUCCUAGCAUGGAGAAGACUUCCUAACGUGGAGAAGACUUCCUAGCAUGGAAAAGACCCUUAGGUUUUGGCCUAAGGGAUGAUGAGCAAGGAGCUGAAGGGCACCUCCUUGUAGGUCUGGUCAUGAUCAUCUCUGCUCUUUCUCCUUAUACUUCGUAAGAGUAAAGACCACAUGUUGAAGUCAGCAGAGCUACAAGACAGAAGGAGCCAAGGUCCUGGAGUCAUUGGCUGGCUGAGUGCCAGGGGGAGUAUAACCCAAGUGAUGAUAUAACAUAAGCAAAACAUAAACUUUUGUGGUGUUAAAUCCCUGAGAUACUGGGUUUCUUAUUACAUUUCCUAGUGUUAAUUUCCUGACUGUUACACUUCUCCAUGGAUUUAAACUGCACACUAUACUACAAACUGUUCUUUGUACUUUUUAAAACCAGGCUUAUUGUGAUUAUGAUUGACUUACAAUUAACUGCACAGAUUUAAAGAAUACUACUUGAUAAGUCUUGACAUAUUUGUAUACCCAUGAACUAUGGCCACAGUCAAUAUAGCAAACAUCUCUAUCUCCCUUUGGAGUCUCCUCAUUCCUCUUUGAAAUCCCUCCCCUCUUAUUUCUCCUUGCCCUCCUACCCCCAUACAACCACUCGUCCAUUUUGUCACUGUGAGUCAGUUUGCUUUCCCAGAAGCCUAUAUAAAUGUACUGAUGUACUCUUUUUAUCUAGCAUCUUUCACUUCGCAUAAUGAUUUUGGAUUCAUCUAUUUUGAUGAGUGUUAUCAAUAGCUUGUUCCUUUUCAUUGCUGAAUAGUAUUUUAAUAAUAGCACUGUCUGAGUGGAUAAACAGUGGGUAAACACAUUUGUUUAUCCAUUUUUCUGUAGAUGAACAUCUGGGUUGUCUUUUGGAUUAAUCCAAGGACAUUUUUUCUCUUGUGUUUUCUUUUAGAAUUUUUCUGGUGUUAGCUCUUACAUUUAGCCCUAUCCAUUUACACUAUCCUAAUCCAAUGGUAUAGGGUAUGAGUUGUAGUUCAUAUUUUUGCUAUGGAUAUGGCUAUCCAACUGUUCUAGCACCAUUUCUUAAAAAAAAAUUAUUCUUUCCCUAUGGAAUUGCCUUGGCAUCCUUGUUAAAAAUCAAUUGGCUAUACAUAUGUGAGUCUAUUUCUGGACUCUAUCCUGUUCCAUUGAUGUAUUGCUUUAUAUAUAUAUAUACAAAUCUACAUUGAUGUAUAUCUUUACACCAAACUCACACUGUUUAGAUUAUUUUAACUUUCUAAAAACUUAAAAUCAAGUCAUUUAGGAUUUUCACCUUGUUUCUUAAUUUUCAAAAUUGUUUUGAUUAUUCUAAAUCUUUUGUAAUUCUUUGUAAAUUUUAGAUUCGGCUUAUACAUUUCUACAAAAAAAAGUCUUGCUGGAAUUACAUGGGAAUUGGGUUGAAUCUGUAGGCCACGUUGGGAUGAACUGUUAUCUAACAAUGUUGAGCCCUCCAAUCCAUGAACUUGGUAUAUAUCUCCUUUUGUUUAGGUCUUCUUUAAUUUCUCUCAGCAGUGUUUUGUUAGUUUUCAGCGCAUGGGCCUUGCACAACUCAUAUAAUUUAUCUCUAAGUAUUUCAUAUUAUUUAAUGCAAUGGUGUCUUAUCUCAGGCUGCUCUAACAAAAUACCAUAAACUGAGUGGUUUAUCAACAAACAAAAAAGUUUAUUUCUCACAGUUGUGGAAGCUAAAAGUCCAAUGUCAUGGUGUCAGCAUGGUUGGGUGAAAGCCUUCUCCCCAAUUCCAGUUGACUGACUUCUCGUAUCCUCACAUUGCACAGAGAGAGAGCACUCCAGCUCUGGUCCCUUUAUCACCUUAUCAGUACACAAAUCUCACUCAUGAGAGUUCUACCUCCACAACCUAAUAACCUCCCAAAGGCCCCACCUCCAAAUACCAUCCCAUUGGAGGUUAAAUUUCAACACAUGAAUUCUGGGGAGACACAAGCAUUCAGUGCACAACAAAUAAUAAAUCACAUUCUAAUUUAUUUUCUGGUUGUUCAAUGAUAGUUAUAUAGAAAUAAAAUUGAUUUUCAUACACUGUUUUUUUUUUUUUUUUUUUUUUUUUUUUUUAGUAAUCUCUGCAUCCAAUGUGGGGCUCAAACUCAUGACCCUGAGAUCAAGAGUCACAUGUCUUCUGACUGAGCCAGCCAGGAGCCCCAAUAUACUGAUCUUAUAUCCUACAACCUUGCUAUAUUCACUUAUAAGGUUUUGUCACCUUUUCACAGUUUAGGAUUUUCUACAGAGACAAUGCUGUCUGUUAAUAAACAUAGUUUGAUUUUUUCCCUUUUAUAUCAGUAUGUCUUUAAUUUCCAUUUCUUGUCUUUUGCCCUGGCUAGGGCCUCUAAAAGAAAAUGUUAAAUAGAUGUAGUGAAAGUGCACAUCCUUGAUGGUUCCUGAGCUUGGAAAUAAUUCAGUCUUUUCACCAUUAAGUAUGAUUUUAGCUGUAGAUUUUUAAUAGAUGCCCUUAAUCAGGCUGAAGAAGUUUCCAGUGAUUCCUGGUUUGCUGCGAGUUUGGUUUGUUUUUUUUUUAGAAAACCAUGUUCGAAUGCAGAAUUUUGACAGAUGCUUUUUCUGAUAUUCAUAGGGUUUUUCUUUUUUAGUUGUUCAAUUUGGUGAAGAAAUAGUUGAUUUUUAAAUUUUUAAAUAGACAUUAAAACACCUCCUUGCAUUCCUGGCAUAAACUCUACUUCAUUGUGAUGUAUUAUCUGCUAUUUAUCCCAUUCAGUGUAUUUUUUAAAUCUCAAACACUGUAUAUUUCAUCUCUAAAGUUUGAUUUGGGUCUUUUUGUCUUCCGUUUUCCUCUUCAUCAUUCUCAUGCUUUCUUCUACCUCUUGAGCAUAUGGGGUAUGUUUAUAAUAGCUGUUUUAAUGUCCUGCUCUACUAAUUUUGUCAUUUAUGUCAUUUCUGGCUCUGCUCUUACUGCUUGCAUAGUCUCCUUCCUCUGAGCCACUUUUGCCUGCUACUCUGCUAUUUUUGGUUAGAUGCCAGAUAUUGUGAAUUUUACCUUUUGAGUUCUAUUGGUCUUGUUUGUUUGUGUAUUAUAAUAUAUCCCUUUAAGUAUUUUUUACUUUGUUCUGGAACCCAGUUAAGUAAAUUGAAAAUGUCUGAUCCA